rnacentral:rRNA from 1 species
UACGUAGGGGGCGAGCGUUGUCCGGAAUUAUUGGGCGUAAAGAGCUCGUAGGCGGCUUAGUAAGUCGGCGGUGAAAUACCGAGGCUCAACCUCGGCACUGCCGUCGAUACUGCUAUGGCUAGAGUCUGGUAGAGGAGAACGGAAUUCCCGGUGUAGCGGUGGAAUGCGCAGAUAUCGGGAAGAACACCGGUGGCGAAGGCGGCUCUCUGGGCCUUACCUGACGCUGAGGAGCGAAAAGCGUGGGGUAGCAAACAGG